AGGGUUGUGCUGGAAUAUGAAAUGACAUCAUCCUGUUUAAGGUUUAGCAGUGGCCCUGUCUUUAUACAUGGUGGUCCCAGAUGUGUGGAUGCCUGUAUCUUGCUCUUCUCCUUACCCCUGCCUCUUGUCACUCACUGUGUGCUGUGGUUUAGAUCUGGAACAUCCCCUCAAAGCCUCCCAUGUGCAGGGGUGGGGUUUUGGAAUGUGGCUGGAUAGUGGGGGUGCCACAGUCAACUUUCCGUUAGAGGGUGGAGUCUGCUUGGAGGUGGGUCACUGUGGGUGGGACCCGAAGUCCUGACUCCUCCCUCCUCUCUUUUCUUCCUGGCACGGCCGUGGGGUAAGCAGCUGUCCUCCACCAGGCCCUUCCUCUAUGUCUUUUCUGCAGUGUGAGUCCAAAUUAUCUCUUUCUCUUAAUUUUGGGGCGUUAGGUAUUUUGUCACAGGGAGAAAGCGACUAAGAUGCUGUGAAAGCAAAGAGAUGCCUCAGGCUCUACAGUCCAAAUCUUGAGGAAUCCCAUGAGAACUUCUAUAUCCGGGUCCCAAGAGACAAUGUUGGGGUCCCAUGACUCAGGCUGAUAUCAGCUCUAGGCCAUGCUAUGGAAAACCCGAUCCAGUUCUCCUGAGUAAGAAAGCAGAGCUUGGACCAGGCUGCUCCCACCCUCUUCCCAUCACCAGUGCUGAUGCUCCUGACUCCCUGCAAGCUUCUUCACCAGCAGUCAAACUGGCCUGCUCGCCCAGCUUUGGAAAGCCUUUUCACCUGGAAUUCCUGUUUCUGGAAGGCUCUUCACACCCCUGGUCUUAACUUCUUGGAAGCCAUCUCAAAUGUUACCUUCUUUGUGGAUCUGUUUCUGCCUAACUUCUUCUGAAAUAAAUGUAGACUUUCCC
rnacentral:lncRNA from 1 species